rnacentral:lncRNA from 12 species
AGCCUCUUGCGCGGGGAGGCUCCGGCGCCUGGGCUCCUUCCCCCACGUUCGCCCGCAGCCCGCGCGCGGUGUUUUCUCGUGCGCUCCUGGAGCCCGCUGGAAACCGGCGCUGGGCUUUAAGCGGGGGGCGGGAGGGGGAGCUGCGGCAGCGGGGUCCCAGGGAAGCAGUCCCCGCGCGGGGCUUCCAGAAAGAGUGGAGUUAAGCAAGUUUUGCGCACCAAAGGAGUCCACCCUGUGAAGAGUUCUUUACUGACGUCCUCAUCCAAAAAUCUGACCCUUUUCCCCGACACUUACUCAAGGUUCCCAGUCCAGGAAGAAUCACCAAUUUGUUAACUUCGACUACAAGCCAGAGUUUAUUGGGACAGGAAGGAGGAGGCUGCCUCUGACAAACGACACUAUCCACAAGGUACAGGAAUGGAUUUGGAUCAACAGGUGCAGAGAAACACUGUUCUGCUAUUUAACUGAACUUUCUACUACCUGUUCUGGCAUUCUGGGGAAAUAUUUAUUAUAUCCAUAUUCAAUUUAAAAAUGAGGAAGCUCUAAGGCAUCACCACACUUAUAUUUUAGAAAGUAGGUCCUUAUCAUUUCUAAUUUUCCCCCAAA